UAAGGAAUAUUGGUCAAUGGGCGGAAGCCUGAACCAGCCAUGCCGCGUGCAGGAAGACUGCCCUAUGGGUUGUAAACUGCUUUUGUACCGGAAUAAACCUCACUUCGUGAAGUGAGCUGAAUGUACGGUAAGAAUAAGGAUCGGCUAACUCCGUGCCAGCAGCCGCGGUAAUACGGAGGAUCCAAGCGUUAUCCGGAUUUAUUGGGUUUAAAGGGUGCGUAGGCGGCUUUUUAAGUCAGGGGUGAAAGACGGUGGCUCAACCAUCGCAGUGCCUUUGAUACUGAAAAGCUUGAAUAGACCUGAGGUAGGCGGAAUGUGACAAGUAGCGGUGAAAUGCAUAGAUAUGUCACAGAACACCAAUUGCGAAGGCAGCUUACUAAAGUCUGAUUGACGCUGAGGC
rnacentral:rRNA from 1 species